ACGGCUACAUCAUGUUAAAACACCGGUUCCCAUGCAGUCAACAGAGUUAAGCAACGUUGAGCAUGAUUAGUACCUAGACGGGUGACCGUUUGGGAAUACCAGAUGCUGUAAG